GUAGGGAAUAUUGGGCAAUGGUCGGAAGACUGACCCAGCCAUGCCGCGUGCAGGAAAACGGCCCUCUGGGUUGUAAACUGCUUUUAUCUGGGAAGAAAAAGGCCAUGCGUGGCAAAUUGCCGGUACCAGAUGAAUAAGCACCGGCUAACUCCGUGCCAGCAGCCGCGGUAAUACGGAGGGUGCGAGCGUUGUCCGGAUUUAUUGGGUUUAAAGGGUGCGUAGGCGGCUGAUUAAGUCAGCGGUGAAAGACUUCGGCUUAACCGGAGCAGUGCCGUUGAUACUGGUUGGCUUGAGUGUCGGAGGGGUACAUGGAAUUGAUGGUGUAGCGGUGAAAUGCAUAGAUACCAUCAGGAACACCGAUAGCGAAGGCAUUGUACUGGCCGACAACUGACGCUGAUGCACGAAAGUGUGGGGAUCGAACAGGAUUAGAAACCCCGGUAGUCC
rnacentral:rRNA from 1 species